rnacentral:tRNA from 1 species
GGGGAGUUAGACCGUAGGGGUAGCGGAACGGAUUGUAAAUCCGUUGUCAUUGCGACUCGGGUGGUUCGACUCCAUCACUCCCCA